CAACGCAUCAUGACUUUAACAACACAACUAAACGCCCCAGAAAUACAAAACUUGGCAAAACAAUGCAAAAGCCUUGCCUCCCAGUUGUAACAACACAACCACACCACAAAACCACACUGGACCCACAAAACUCACAACAACGCAUCAUGACUAUAACAACACAACCACACCACAAAACCACAAUCCGGACCCACAAAACUCACAACAACGCAUUGUGACUAAAACAAAUACAAAAUUUGACAACACAACUCAUCCACCUCCCCAAUCCCUACAUUCACACUUGGCCUCCAAAAAAACAAUUACAAUAAUAACAAUGACAACAACAACAACAAUAAGAAUCAAUGCCAUCACAGGCAAGAAACAGCCAGGCACUGAGGCUGAGAGGCCAGUCAGUGCUACACUGGGCCUCCAAAAAACAAUACAGUAGCAUCUAACUUAUCCAACCUUCAUGACCACUACAACAACAAUAAUAAUAAACAGUUACACAGGCAAAACAAAAAAAAGACUAUUGUACCACAAUAAAAAUAUAAACCGCACUCAGCAGAAUCAGACAUUACAACUAACAACAAACCAAAGACAACAGGGAUCUCAAGCAAUUAUCAAUCAACACAAAAAUUGAAGAAGGUAACAGACUUCAAAUACUACUACUAAUGUGAGUAUAAAGAAGGGUGGAGGUCACAGCAUAAAUACAACCUAAUGUAGACAGACCAACACCACCAGACUAAGCCACAGCAACGCGUGGCCGGGCACAGCUAGUAGCAAUAUAAAAGGCUGAUGAAAACAAAAAGAUUCUCACUUAGUGGAGAAACCAUAAUUAAAGUGUCAGGCAACCCAUUUUAGGAAUUCUAUUCCACAACGAAUAUGUUGCUGUCAGAAAGCCUUAUCUUAUUUGCCAGAGGCCCAUGAAUUAAAGUCUCAAAAACUGAUCUUAAGGUCUAGAUAGUUACAUGCUGUUAGUUUGGUUAAACUGAGGAUGUGAAGGGCUAUGAAAAUGAAGACCUGAAAAAAGCACUUUUACAACUGUCCCAACUAUAAAUCUCAUGCCCCAGUUUUGAACAAACUGUAAUUUUUGGACUCUUUUUAUGCCACGCAGAACACAUUGCAACAGUUUAUACAAAGACUACCAAAGCUUUGGAAACUCCAUCUAUCUCCUUGCACCUAUAGUUGCAAUUAGUAUGUCAAGUGAAGCCAAUAAAAGACACUACAGACCACAGAUUCCUCCAGAAUCUCUGAUGGCAUGAUUUUCCAAAUCUGCUUUAAUAGCCAGAAAGAGAUCUGUUUUGUUGUCCGAGUGCAGCAGAAUUAUGUUUACUGCCUCCUCCUGCCUGUGAUCUGGAAUACAUCAGAAACAUCCCCCCUAUUGCAACUCAUUGGACUACAGAUAAUUAAUGAGACAAGCUGA
rnacentral:lncRNA from 1 species